rnacentral:rRNA from 1 species
AACGUAGGAGACAAACGUUAUCCGGAGUUACUGGGCGUAAAGGGCGUGUAGGCGGACUGUUAAGUCUGGCGUGAAAGCUCCCGGCUAAACCGGGAGAGGUCGUUGGAUACUGGCAGACUAGAGGGUGGUAGAGGCGUGUGGAAUUCCGGGUGUAGUGGUGAAAUGCGUAGAGAUCCGGAGGAACACCAGUGGCGAAGGCGGCAUCCUGGACCGACAUUGACGCUGAACGGCGAAAGCUAGGGGAGCAAACGGG